rnacentral:tRNA from 1 species
CGGGGCGUAGCGCAGCCCGGUUAGCGCACCUGCUUCGGGAGCAGGGGGUCGGAGGUUCAAAUCCUCUCGCCCCGACCA